AUUGAACGCUGGCGGCAUGCCUUACACAUGCAAGUCGAACGGCAGCGCGGGGGCAACCCUGGCGGCGAGUGGCGAACGGGUGAGUAAUAUAUCGGAACGUACCCAAGAGUGGGGGAUAACGUAGCGAAAGUUACGCUAAUACCGCAUACGAUCUAAGGAUGAAAGUGGGGGACCGCAAGGCCUCACGCUCCUGGAGCGGCCGAUAUCUGAUUAGCUAGUUGGUGGGGUAAAGGCCUACCAAGGCAUCGAUCAGUAGCUGGCCUGAGAGGACGACCAGCCACACUGGGACUGAGACACGGCCCAGACUCCUACGGGAGGCAGCAGUGGGGAAUUUUGGACAAUGGGGGGCAACCCUGAUCCAGCAAUGCCGCGUGAGUGAAGAAGGCCU
rnacentral:rRNA from 1 species